UCUGCACCGAUUCCAAGAGAAGAGCAGCCUCCUCCUCCCAUUCUGUAACACCGCAUCGGAACAAACAUACAUAAAAGGAGAAGGGGAGAAAAAUCCGCACAUUUACCUACAGCAGCACUAGCGCUUCUGUUUUUGAAUGUUUUAAGUGGAUCUUCUCGAAAUGUGUGCAGAGACUGGCGGAGCCCCCGACCCCAAGAUAAGCUAUCGCACUGAAGGACUGCAUCCCAGCAGCACCUAUUGCAUAAAGAGCAGCCGGAACGGGGAAAGCUUUGGAAGGCAAAAUAAAAUUGGUCUUUUGUGGCAGAGCAAAAGUGUCAAAUUAUAAAAAGGACAACAAAUUAAAUAUCUGAUAAAGAUG